UGGGCCUGGUUUUCUCAUAUGAUUUUAAUGCAUUCAUGCACCCAUCCAGUCUCAGUUCACCCCGUUCUGUGUCGUGUGGGUGGUGUGACAGAUGGCGCCGUUUACGUGUCCACCCAGGUGCAGAGCGUUCCUCUAUCUUCAAAAUAGAGUCAGAGCUGCUCGCAAGAUGGCGUCUUUCAGGGUAAGGCAGUCUGAAACGGGGAGUAGGUUAGAGCAGGGCACAGCCUGUUUGCAAAACUGACGAGACGAGAUUGGCUCUUUAAAUAAACCAAAAGGAUUAAACGAAUCUAUAGUACUGACCAUUCUGAAGCCAGGGUUAACGUUUAGCAUAGGGAGAGGGAACAGGAGCUGAAUGUUCUUGGAAACUCGCUUUUUCAAAAAGGCUUUCAGCGAAGCAUUGUGUAUUAGUACCCCCCACCCCGGGUGGAAGAAUAUUUUAAGAUAUUAACCGCAGGGCUCCCCGCUCAGGCGCCAGCUCUUGCCUAUGGCACGUCUCCCACUCAAGCUUCAGUGAACUUAAGGCACUUUGCCAAAGAACAGGGAGCCUCACCGUGGAGAGGAAGAGGUGUCUUUCAGUUUUAAAUGUGCAACCCACAGCAGGAUCCAGAAAGAAUGUAGGACAAAGGAUUCCAAAGAAAACAUAGCAGCUCUGAGCUCGUGUUUCCCACCCUCCUGACUCGCUUUAUGAACUCCCCGGAUAGAUGGGAAAGAGAACUUCAGAGGAACUUGGCUCCUGAAGAGGUGCCCAGAGACUUGCCUUCCCUAGGCGGUACCUGAAGGUAGAACGGGGACAAUGGUAGGAGUCUAGGUGGAUUUGAUGGAUCCAAGCCUAAGAGUCCAUUGUUGCUUUCCCAGUGAGAUCUGAGGGGUGGAAAACUUGCCUGUUGACCACGUGCUUGGCAGUAAGCAGCAUCGAGGGAGGAUGGUUAUGUGGAGGAUCUAGGGAGAUGGAGCAGCCUCCUAGAAUCAAUACCCAGUUCCAAGAGCAAUGAUAGAUGUACCAAGAAGCAGACAAAGUAGGUUGAAGGAAGCAAAAUAACUGCUCUUGAGGAGGCCUAGAGAUUAGAAAAGGGGGUGAGAAACAGCAGGACUUGGAGCAAUGGCAAAGUUGUACAUCUCAGCACAUUCCUGCCUAGUUGAUGGUUACUCAGACAAGGAGAAAGAUGGAAAGCCGAGGAGGCAUGAGAAAGAAAGAGAAGCCGUGGCGCCCUAGGAUCUGGAUGAAAUCUCUUGCUGGCGGACAGUCAAGAAUUUCAAGACAGCUGACCAAAUGGCCCGCAGAGGACGUACUCCCGUCUGAGAAAGUCUCACUAACAAGGUUAUGAACCAUCUUUCCAGACAAAAAGCACGUCUUAACUUCCUUGUGACUUAAGAAUUAAUUCAUUCACGAGGACUCCUUGUGAGUUGAAGGUCUUAAAAGCAAGCCACAGCAAGCUGUCCAAUCAGACAUAUUUAAGAUGAAACUUCACUCUUGGCGGGGAUUUGGGAGGCUCACCGGAAUGCCUCUUUACGAAGGCUGCCCAGAAGAGGAUGCUCCAGGUCGGCUCAGCUUGCAAAACCAGCAGAAUCCGGUUAUCUAAGAAGGUGAGAUUCCCAAGUGCUAGGGAGAAAUGAAGACGAGACAAAACAGAUGAAGGUCAGUGUGGGGAUUUUAAUGAGUCUGUCAUGGAGUAAGGAUGCCAUGUGCUGAAAUGUAUCUAGACCAUGUUCUAUGAUUAUCUGAGUUGUAUAAGUAGUUACUCACUUGCAGGAAGCAGGUGAUUGGUAGGACAAAGUUUUGAUGUCUGUAGACAUGGUUAUUUUCUAAAGACUUUGAAAGCAUGUCUUUAUCUCAUGGUGAGCAUCUCAAGAUGGGCCAGCGUGGUUACUUGGUUGCUAAGAGAAAAUGGUUAGAGUGGUACACAGGUGGAGAAAAGGGAAUGUAGGAUUCUGGGGCGAAGAAAGAUACAGCAGUCCUUGGUUUUCAAAUUCCAGUCUGCAGGCUGGUAACAAGCUGGCAGCUUCCAAAUUGCUUGGGGAGCUUGUUGAAAAUAGACAUUUCUGAAACCUAGCUCCAGAAAUUUUAAUGUGGUAUCAAAUUAUGCUUGAUUCUGAUAGUUAGGUUUAGAAAUGAAAGGAGUAGUUAAUAUGUAAGAUUUAGAAGACUGGUAUGCAUCCAUUAUGUAAAUAUGUGGUUAUUAAGUGUCAGCUGCAUGAAAGUUGCCAGGCUUAGUUCUUUGGAAAUAACAAACAUGUAGGAGAUAGUCUGUGAUGGUUAAUAUUUGGUUCCCAGGUUGAGUGGAUUGAAAGACAUCUAGAGAAGUAUUAAAGCACACUUAGGGCUUACGUCGGACAGUGGUUCCAGAGACAGUCGGUAUGUGUGUCAGGAAACUGACUUGGGAAGACCUGUUCUGAAUGUGCAUGACCUCGCCCAGUAAGCUUGAAGCCUAGAUCAAACAAAAGGAAAAGCAGAAGCAAGGGCACACAAAACUCAUUUUGAGCAGAUGCACUUUUGCUAUUGCUAUGGUCUGUGAACGUUAGAUCACAGACUCUUCAGCUUUUGAAUGUAGACUCACACCAGCAAUUCUCUGGGGAGUUUCCAGGCCUUCAGUUUCAGAAUGGGGGCGUAUUACUAGUCCUGAUUCUUUGAUUGAGAAGCUAGUGGUUUCUGUGGAUCUCUGCCUAUAGCUCCUGUGACUACUCAGCCUCUGGUCUGCUAAGCCAAUUAAUAAAUCCCACCACACAUACACACAAACACAUAUGCACACACACUCACACACACGCACACGCACACGCACACGCACACGCACACACACACACACACACACACACACACACACACACCAUGCACACACAUGCGCCAGGAGGUGGGUACUUUCUUUUCUCAUGAAUGUGACACAGUGCCUGACAAGAGCAUCAUUAACGAAGGAAAGCUUCAUCUUGGUGCAGGGUUUCAAGGGUUUCAGUCCACCGCAUGGUGGGCAGGGCAAGACAAAGCAGCUCUGUGGCAUUGAGAGCUUAUGGUGGAAACCAUUCUAUGGUGGUUCUAAUAGGAAAGAGCUAGAUGAGAAGGAGCCGAGGAUAUUAUACCCUCAAGGACUUACCAUUGGUACCUAUUUCUGCUAGCUAAACCCCAUCACCUAGAGGAUCUACAGCCUUCCCCAGUAGAACCCCCAGCUGGAGACCAAGAGUUCAGACAAAUUUACAGUCACCUGGGGUAGGGGACAACUGGAGGCAGUUUGGUGCCAAUCUCCACGUAUAUUUGUUUCUUGGGUCUCCCAGCAGCUAGGAAGGCUCUACAUCUCCUGACAAUUGCAAUCUCACUUUCCCUGACUCCAUACUUCACCUUCCUGUCUGUCCCCAGCACAGCCGGACCUUACCCUCCACCCUUGUCCGCUUACCUCAGUGUCUCUAUGGUCAGAACAGCCAACCACAACAAGGCUUCCACUGGCAGGAAACAGUCUUCACACUCUUGGGAUUUCCUAUUAUGUGAUGUGCAACCUUUUCCAGAAACAAUCGAACCUAAAAAUAGAAACCGCCUGGAUCCACCUUCAUCUCAAUACAAUGACUCCGUGGCCGCUGUAACUGGCCUUGAAGCAGUGCCAGGCACUUUGAAAUCCCGAGGCUCAUCGGUGUGAAUGAAGGAAGCGCUUCCAGGGACUCCCAAGCGAGGGGAGGCUGCUGUUUACUUAUUCCCUAGUCUUUGUUAUUUUGUUGGCCUUUGCCAGGAAAGCCUGGGUAGGAGGAAGGAAAGCAAGAAGGGGAUCAGAGGGGUGCAGGAGAUUAGCAAGCAGAAUUGGUGACCCUGGGGGAAGAGACUAAUUCCCAGAGGAAUUAGGUGAGUUUUUGAAGGAUGGGGUUGAACUGGAGAAGAGAGGGAAAGAGAAGCAGGUUGAAACUGGAUUUUCAGCGGCCCACGUAGUUGGAGUGACUGGGCCUUCACAGCUGGAUCAUGGCUUCUGGAAAUGGAGCAGGGAGGAGAAUCAGUCCGUCUUCAAGUCACUACCAGGGUCAGCAGUUACUGUUUCUCUCUCACCAUCCCCUGAGAAGUUCCCAUUCUCUUCUGUGUGGAGGAGGAGACAGAGGAAGGGACAAAAACCUGGAGAGGGCAGAAGCACCUGCCCACCCAUGUGAGACAAGACAAAAAGCAGAAGUUAAUCAGCGUGCACCGGCCCCUCCAUAAAGAUCCCACCCCACUGGAGUGUGUGACCAACCUGGGAGAGAAACUGGGAGUUCUCAACAAUGAUGCUAAGAGCCAUGACCUUGAAAUUCAAAAGCAAAUAGAGAAGAGAUGAAGACCCAGGAGACCCGAGCUUGAAGUUAUCCCAGGAGAAACAAGCUGAAUAUAAGGUCUUCCCAGACUCAGCUCAGAGUCAAACAGCCUGUCUUCUAACCCCAUUUCCUCCCAUCACCAGCUGGGAGACUUGGAAGUCGUCUUUCCUUUCCCUGAGCGGAUACCCAUUUCAUUAGGUUCAUUAGGUGAGGGUGACAUGAGGUGGGAGCAAACAGCUCUAUCUCCAUACACCCCGUUAAGGGGCUUUGUGGGCAGAACCAAGACUCACCCAGAAAGAUGUGGUCGGUAGAAAAUAGCUUUUACACGAAUCUAGGCCUGGAUGGAGAAAGAAGACAUGUUAAAAAACAAACAAACAGACAAACAAAAAAACAAAACAAAAAACCCAAACAAACAAAAACAACUGGCAACAGGGAAGGAGCCUGGUGCUUGUAUACACGGUGCCUGGGGUACUCAAGAGGACGUGGGAAAGUUCUCCCCGUACAAGCAUCCAGCAAAUACAGGGAGAUCAAUAAAACCAAAUUACCACCGUUUUGCAGCCUCCAAAGAAACAAUGAAAGUUAACAGUGACCGUUAUAUCAGUUACUAAUUUACUGCCUUUAAACCCUAAGUCCACCGUUUCAGUGCUCUGGGGUCAUUCAUUGAAGGAAUUCGAAACACUUCUCCUUCCCAACGCGCAUGAUUUGACGCUUCAUCAGUAGAGGGCGCUAAAGAGACACUACAGGAACAAGGGGCUUUUCACUUGGUUUUACUCCUGGUGUCUGACCUCCAGCAGUGCACAUGUAGGCUCAUCAGCCAGGCCAUGUGCCAUCAAGAUCGCUACAGUGUACAGUCCUUCUCCCGGAUCCUCUGCCUGGACUCAGAGACCCCUUGCCUUCACCCUUGUAACGUACCAGUUUUACACAGACCUCCUGACCACUUUCCAUCUACAGCUGGCUGACAAGGCAGCAGGACUUUGUUUCUUAAAGCCCUCCAAGUGUGAAUGCUUCACACGAGUCCUUACACUUCCUAUUUGUGUAUGGUCACGGGACAAGUCAAGAGAAGAAAUUUUACUUUGAUUCAUCGUUAAAGAGAGACUUGAAUCCAUCACUACAAGGGGAAUGCACGGGCAGCUCUUCACCUGACCAUUGUCCAGGAAGCAGAGUUCAGGACUAGAGCCACAAGAGGAUAUAAAUUUCACGGGCCUGCCCCUGGUGGCCCAUCUAGUCUAGCAUCUCCUCAGGAGUCUACAGCCUUCAAAGCAGCCCCCACAAACUGGGGAAUCAAGUGUUUAAAACAUGAGAACUAAGAAUGCCAUUGAGAUUCAGAGCAAAACAGACAAAAGACUAAGCCCAGGAAAACGAUUAAGGCUUGAGAAUUGUGUGUGAGAACAGCAUCCAAGUCAGGAGGCCUGCAAAGCUGCUUUGUAGCCAUACACAAGUGACUGGCAACUGCUGACAAGCCACCACAGACAGGAUCAAGAGCAUGAGUUACUCCAGGCUUUGGGCUUUGGGAGGCAGCAUUUAUGGGGGAGGGGGUGUGUGGUGAGGGUUAGGGGAAGGGUUCCCUGUUCUACAUCAGUUGAUCAUGUCAACCACGGUCAUGGUGCUGAAGGACCUGCUAAAUCUGGCCUUGUUCCUGCCUUGGCAGGCUGCCAGGCAUAGCCAGGAUGAUGGAGGGGUGUUUUUACAAGUGUCAAACCCCAGGAACAUUGUCUUCAUCCUGUCUGAUAAAGCCCAGAGUCCGACAAGCAUCAGGGAAAAACACAGGUUCUAGUUCCAUUCCAACCCCUGCAGGCCUGCUCACUAAAAACUUCUGACAAUGUCAA